CCCUUAGAUGUUCUGGGCCGCACGCGUGCUACACUGAGUGGAUCAGCGGGUCAGGUUGCGCGAAAGUGUUUCUAAUCUUUAAAUCCGCUCGUGAUGGGGAUUGACGGUUGCAAUUUUCCGUCAUGAACGAGGAAUACCUUGUAAGCGCGGGUCAUCAUCCCGCGCUGAAUACGUCCCUGCCCUUUGUACACACCGCCCGUCGCUCCUACCGAUUGAGUGGUCCGGUGAGGCUUUGGGAUCUGAGCGGAAAGAGCGUUUCGCUGUUUCUGCCCGGAAAACUCAGUCGAACCUUAUCAUUUAGAGGAAGGAGAAGUCGUAACA
rnacentral:rRNA from 1 species